rnacentral:rRNA from 1 species
UAAUAUUAUAAAUACAAAUUCCCGAGUAAAUGUGAGCUAUACUUAAUAAAGGAUUAGGGUGGUUAACUUAGUCUGUAGCAUAAUACAAGGUUUUAAUUAAAUAUAGGAAUGAAAUGUUUUCAUAUAUUUAUAUAUCUGGAUUAACUUUAAAUAUUAUUAGAAUAAUAGACAAUCUUUAAGUUAUAAGAUUUGAAGAAUAACAUAGUUUUAUAUUUAAGUUCCCUUAAAUAUAUUAUAUAGAUAUUUAUGCUUAUUAUUAUUUUAUAUUUAUACAUGUUUUUUAAAGUUAACAAUAAUUGAGCAUAUAUAUUAUUUGUAUAAUGUUUAAAUAAGUAUUAAAAGAAUAUUUAUGUAAAGAAUUCAGCAAACAUUUAAUUCAUCUGUUUAUCAAAAACAUAGCUUGAAGUAAAUAUUUUAAGUGCAACCUGCCCAGUGAUAGUUUUAACGGCCGCAGUACAUUGACUGUGCUAAGGUAGCAUAAUAAAUUGGCUUUUAAUUGGAGUCGGGUAUGAAAGGUUUAUAUGAAAUUAAGUCUGUUUCUUGUAAAGUUUCAAAAAAUUUCCAGGCAAGUGAAAAUGCUUGCUAUAAUUAAAUUAGACGAGAAGACCCUAAGAAUUUUAUUUUAAUAAUUUAUUCAUAUAACAAUUUUGUUGGGGCAACAAAUUUGGAAAGAAAUCAAAUUAUAACAAUAUAACUAAAAGAUUAUUUAUAUAGAUGGUUAAAUUACCUUAGGGAUAACAGCAUAAUUUUUAUAAAGAUUAUGACCUCGAUGUUGGAUUAAGGGCUAUUUUAGGUUAGACACUUAAAUAGAUUGUUCUGUUCGAACAUAAAACCUUA